UACGAGGGGGGCUAGUGUUGUUCGGAAUCACUGGGCGUAAAGGGCGCGUAGGCGGUAGCCUAAGUUUGGUGUUUAAUUCCGGGGCCCAACCCCGGGCGUGCACUCAAAACUGGGUUUCUUGAAUAGGGGAGAGGUCGGUGGAAUUGGAGGUGUAGCGGUGGAAUGCGUAGAGAUCUCCAAGAACACCCGUUGCGAAGGCGGCCGACUGGACCCAUAUUGACGCUGAGGCUCGAAAGCAUGGGGAGCAAACAGG
rnacentral:rRNA from 1 species